rnacentral:miRNA from 10 species
CAUAUAGUUUGUAUUAGGUUGGUGCAAAAGCAAUUGCUGUUUUUGCCAUUACAUUUAAAUUGCAAAAACCUCAAUUACAUUUGCACCAACCUAAUA